rnacentral:rRNA from 1 species
UGGGGAAUAUUGCACAAUGGGCGCAAGCCUGAUGCAGCCAUGCCGCGUGUAUGAAGAAGGCCUUCGGGUUGUAAAGUACUUUCAGCGGGGAGGAAGGGAGUAAAGUUAAUACCUUUGCUCAUUGACGUUACCCGCAGAAGAAGCACCGGCUAACUCCGUGCCAGCAGCCGCGGUAAUACGGAGGGUGCAAGCGUUAAUCGGAAUUACUGGGCGUAAAGCGCACGCAGGCGGUUUGUUAAGUCAGAUGUGAAAUCCCCGGGCUCAACCUGGGAACUGCAUCUGAUACUGGCAAGCUUGAGUCUCGGAGAGGGGGGUAGAAUUCCAGGUGUAGCGGUGAAAUGCGUAGAGAUCUGGAGGAAUACCGGUGGCGAAGGCGGCCCCCUGGACAAAGACUGACGCUCAGGUGCGAAAGCGUGGGGAGCAAACAGG